GUGUAGGGUCAUGCCACUCUGAACAUGCCCGAUCUCAUCUGAUUGUGGAAGCUAAGCAGGGUUGGGCUGGGUUAGUACUUGGAUGGGAGAUCACCUAGGAAUUCCGGGUGCUAUAGGCG
rnacentral:rRNA from 1 species